rnacentral:rRNA from 1 species
AUGUCUUUCUCCUCCGCCGAUUCAUCGUCUUCUCGCGGUGGUGGGCUUCGAAGGAGAGGCGGGGCAGCAAGAUCUCCGGUGCCCUAUCGUGAGCAAGCGAUGGAUUACGAGCCGGCGGUGAUUUGCGCUUGCUGCGGCAGGAAGGCGCCACGCUAGAUAUCCUGGAGUCCGGCGAACCCUGGCAGGAGAUACUAUUCCUGCGUGGACUCUCAGGUAUGCCUGAUUCGUCACCUGUCCUCUUGUUCUCUGUUUUUUGUCUCAAUCUCUGUUUUUGGUUCAUGA